AGAAACGUUAUCAUCUGCCUGGGUGAGCCGGCGCCAGGGUACGGGUAGCCCAGCUCUUCCAGCACGGGGCAAAGCUUUUACCAGAGAUCGAUAGUUUCCUGAGUAAGCUAGAGAGUCACUUGGGCUGCAGAGAUGUUGGAAGAAGAUAUGGAGGUGGCCAUCAAGGUGGUGGUAGUAGGAAAUGGAGCCGUUGGAAAGUCUAGUAUGAUUCAGCGAUAUUGCAAGGGGAUUUUUACAAAAGACUACAAGAAAACUAUUGGUGUAGAUUUCCUGGAAAGACAGAUCCAAGUUAAUGAUGAAGAUGUCAGGCUAAUGUUAUGGGACACUGCGGGUCAAGAAGAAUUUGAUGCAAUAACUAAGGCCUACUAUAGAGGAGCCCAGGCUUGUGUUCUUGUGUUUUCUACAACUGACAGAGAGUCCUUCAAAGCAAUCCCUACCUGGAAGGAAAAAGUUGUGACUGAAGUUGGAGACAUCCCCACAGUUCUUGUGCAGAAUAAGAUAGAUCUUCUUGAUGACUCAUGCAUAAAGAAUGAAGAGGCAGAAGCACUGGCAAAAAAGCUAAAAUUAAGGUUCUACCGAGCAUCUGUGAAGGAAGACCUAAACAUAACUGAAGUUUUUAAGUAUUUGGCUGAUAAAUAUCUUCAGAGGCUCAAGCAACAAACAGCUGAAGAUCCAGAACUAGUACAUACAAGCAGUAACAAGAUUGGUGUUUUUAAUACAGCUGGUGGAAGUCACUCCAACCAGAAUUCUAGCACUCUUAAUGGUGGAGAUGUCAUCAACCUUAGACCAAACAAACAGAGGACCAAGAAAAACAGAAGUCCUUUUAGCAACUGCAGCAUACUUUAGACCACUUCUGGACGAAAAAAACCAACCAAGUGAAUUGGAUGAAGUUGUGCAAUUGAAUACAGAAUAAAGCCAGCUGUAGAGGGAGAGAAGUGGGUGGCAAGUUAUGCACAAACACUAAAGAUCUCUGAACUCUGUAUUUUAUGUUUACUGUAUUAGACUCUCUUUCAAGUACUGUUGUUUCUUUGACAAGCUGUUAGAGCAUCUCCUGUUGCUGGCAAGAAGGCAGCCUUCAAGGUGCUCGAUCCCCUUUCCUAUUGCAGCAAAACUGUUGUGUUCUUCAUUGUAACAUUUCCUAUAUUUUCUCUUGGAUAAAGGCCUUCAUUUUUUAACAAGUGCAUUUAAUCACUGUAUGUGUAUAUAAAUGGAAUCAAGUUCUAUCUGUCUUAGCAAUUAUGAUUGUACAUCAUGGAGCCAACUUAGAACUUCAGGAUAUAGGAGAGUGUAUGCAUGAAGAAUUUUGACAACUGUUUUUAAUAUGGAAACUUUUACAUUUCAUUGUCUGUUUGCCAGUUUCAUAUUUUUUAUUCAUUUUUCUUAGAAAAAAACCAAAAUCACAAAGUGUCUGAAACAUCUUUUUUGCCUUGUUUGACUUUGUAGAGAGUACUAAAAAGUAAGUCUUUAUUACGUAUAGUAACCAUUUGUACUAUUAGAUUUUACGCUGUAGACAUUGUACUAUUACAUAAGCCAUUUGUAUUUAAGGUCUGUCAUUGUAAACCACUGUUUUAAAGACUGAAAGCUCAAUAGAAUUUUCAUAGGUGGAGACUUGACAGACCUGCUAAAUUUAGGAUAUGUUGAAACCUAGUACACAUACUUCACCAUAGGAAUAUAUAUUUGCAGCAUUGUUUAACAGUGAGCUUUUGUUUCAUUCACAUCUUAAAUCUAAAGCAGCUCGCUCUUUGUUGUGACUUUGCAGUGCUUGUUCUCCAAUAUGACUGAGGUGGAGACUGUCCAAAUUAGCAUUUUUCUGGAGAGUGCUCUGCAUGUAUGCUGCUUGAAAAUUUAUUUUUUUACCCUACUGGGGUUAGUGUGUAGAUGUAAACCAGCUGACUUGCAUAUUGCAGGAAUCCUUAGGUAUUCUCAUCACUCUUCAGUGGGAGUAACUUUUGCGUUUUGAAUGAAGAGACGUGCCUAAAUGUUUAGCACUUGCAUUGUCCCUUGUGAAUAAUUUUUAUUACAAACAUUGCCCCAUUCUUCACUCAGAGUGUUCUCAUUAAAAUAUUGUAUGGCUGAGUUACCCAAACCUACAGGUGCAGAGCUGGUAAUAAAAAUGGUCUUCUAUGGGCAUCUCUGUGACUGCAUGGUGGGAGAGGAUGUAGCUCUCUUACUCCCAUGGCAGAUGGGCAUCUUAGAGUAGGAGCAACAGAUGUUCCUACCACAAGACACAAAGUUCUGUUUUGUGAGACUAAGCUAAUUGCACUCCUGUUUUAUCUGUCAAUAUCUCUUGAAUAGCUCAUUGGCUGUAUUAUCUGAAUCUCGCAAAAAUUCUUUGCUUUCUUUCAGCUGAUAAUGCUACCACUAGCAGAAAACUUUAGUAAUUGUUAAUGCCUUAGUGAAAUAAGCAUUCACUAAAGAGUAUGACAUUAAAGCAUCUGUCACUCCCGUGUCGUAUCCAUUCAGUGAAUGGGCGUUCUCCCAGUAAGUGGGGCAUCGUUUGAUGCAAAGCGCUAAUGCUAGGGAUGUAUUUCCAACUGGAAAUAACAAAUCUCGAAGUUGUAAGACUGAUCACACUGAUAUUUGUGCUUGUAUGUGUGUGUGUGGUUAAUUUAAAAAAAAAAAAAAAAAAAAAUAUUUUCAGUGUUUU